rnacentral:rRNA from 1 species
GUAGGGGGCAAGCGUUAUCCGGAUUUACUGGGUGUAAAGGGAGCGUAGACGGCUGUGCAAGUCUGAAGUGAAUGGCAUGGGCUCAACCCCGGUACUGCAUUGGAAACUGGUCAUCUAGAGUGUCGGAGGGGUAAGUGGAAUUCCUAGUGUAGCGGUGAAAUGCGUAGGUAUUAGGAGGAACACCAGUGGCGAAGGCGGCUUACUGGACGAUAACUGACGCUGAGGCUCGAAAGCGUGGGGAGCAAACAGGAUUAGAUACCCUGGUAGUCCACGCCGUAAACGAUGACUGCUAGGUGUCGGGUAGCAAAGCUAUUCGGUGCCGCAGCUAACGCAAUAAGCAGUCCGCCUGGGGAGUACGUUCGCAAGAAUGAAACUCAA